rnacentral:rRNA from 1 species
AGGUGCCUACGGGGGGCCGCCGUGGGGUCUCUUUCCCCCUUUCGGCCCCUCUGAUGCAGCGACGCCGCGUGAGGGAAGACGGUCUUCGGAUUGUAAACCUCUGUCUUUGGGGAAGAAAAUGACGGUACCCAAAGAGGAAGCUCCGGCUAACUACGUGCCAGCAGCCGCGGUAAUACGUAGGGAGCGAGCGUUGUCCGGAAUUACUGGGUGUAAAGGGAGCGUAAGCGGGCGAGAAAGUUGAAUGUUAAAUCUACCGGCUUAACUGGUAGCUGCGUUCAAAACUUCUUGUCUUGAGUGAAGUAGAG